GGUAGCAUAAUCAUUUGUUCUAUAAUAGAGAACUGGGAUAAAAGGGAGAACAACUCUAAAACUCUUUAGCCUAUUCUUAGAAAUUAAUAUCUGCAUUAAAAAGUGCAGCUAGGUUGGAGGGACGAUAAGACCCUAUAAAACUUUAUCAUUUUCUCUAAAAGUUUAGUAGAGAAUUAGAGAGAGGUGAUUGAACUGGGGCGGUAUCUAAUACUCUUUAGAAAAGAUAACACAUAAAGUGAAAAGCUUUAUCCUAAAUGGAAUAAAAGUUACUUUAGGGAUAACAGCGCAAUUUCUUAAGGUGGUAACAUUUUAUGAAGACUUGCGACCUCGAUGUUGAAUUGAGGGGCCAGGCUCCUUUUUGAAGUCUUGGGGGUCUGUUCGACCUUUAAAUCCUCACACGAUUUG
rnacentral:rRNA from 1 species